rfam:Paenibacillus pini JCM 16418 DNA, contig: contig00005.
AGGUGAUGUCUACUGAACCUUUACCAACGUAGGCACUCGACUAUGCUGUAGGCAACCGUAGAGGUGCCUUAGACGUCAAUCGUCGCUAGUGUAGUGUGAGGCAGGGUUGAAUGCCCA